CCUACGGGUGGCAGCAGUGAGGAAUAUUGGUCAAUGGGCGCAAGCCUGAACCAGCCAAGUCGCGUGAGGGAUGACGGUCCUAUGGAUUGUAAACCUCUUUUGUCGGGGAGCAAAGCCCGCCACGUGUGGCGGGAAGGAGGGUACCCGAAGAAAAAGCAUCGGCUAACUCCGGGCCAGAAGCCGCGGUAAUACGAAGGAUGGGAGGUUUAGCCGGUUUUAUUGGGUUAAAAGGUUGCGUGGGCGGAGGGUUAGGUCAGCGUUAAAAUGUCGGUGCUCAACACCGGCCUGCCGUUGAAACUGGUCUUCUUGAGUGAGGGAGAAGUAUGCGGAAUGCGUGGUGUAGCGGUGAAAUGCAUAGAUAUCACGCAGAACUCCGAUUGCGAAGGCAGCAUACCGGCGCUCAACUGACGCUGAGGCACGAAAGCGUGGGGAUCGAACAGGAUUAGAUACCCCUGUAGUC
rnacentral:rRNA from 1 species